UACGUAGGGUGCAAGCGUUGUCCGGAAUUUAUUGGGCGUAAAGAGCUCGUAGGCGGUUCGUCACGUCGGCUGUGAAAUCCCGAGGCUCAACCUCGGGUCUGCAGUCGAUACGGGCGGACUGGAGUACUGCAGGGGAGACUGGAAUUCCUGGUGUAGCGGUGAAAUGCGCAGAUAUCAGGAGGAACACCGGUGGCGAAGGCGGGUCUCUGGGCAGUAACUGACGCUGAGGAGCGAAAGCCGUGGGGAGCGAACAGG
rnacentral:rRNA from 1 species